UUAUUUUUUUUUUAGAGACAGGGUCUUGCUAUGUUGCCCAGGCUGGAGAGCAGUGGCUCUUCACAGGCGCGAUCCCACUACUGACCAGCACGGGAGCUUUGACCUGCUCCGUUUCCGACCUGGGCCGGUUCACCCCUCCUUAGGCAACCUGGUGGCCCCCCGUUCCCGCUCCCGGGAGGGGGAGGCCACCAGG